CACGUAGGGUGCGAGCGUUGUCCGGAAUUAUUGGGCGUAAAGAGCUCGUAGGCGGUGUGUCGCGUCGGCCGUGAAAACCUGCAGCUUAACUGUGGGCUUGCGGUCGAUACGGGCAUCACUGGAGUUCGGCAGGGGAGACUGGAAUUCCUGGUGUAGCGGUGAAAUGCGCAGAUAUCAGGAGGAACACCGGUGGCGAAGGCGGCUCACUGGUCCAUUACUGACGCUGAGGUGCGAAAGCGUGGGGAGCAAACAGG
rnacentral:rRNA from 1 species